CCUACGGGGAGCUGCAGUGGGGAAUAUUGGACAAUGGGCGAAAGCCUGAUCCAGCCAUGCCGCGUGUGUGAAGAAGGCCUUCGGGUUGUAAAGCACUUUCAGUGGGGAAGAAAGCCUUGGGGCUAAUACCCUCGAGGAAGGACAUCACCCACAGAAGAAGCACCGGCUAACUCCGUGCCAGCAGCCGCGGUAAUACGGAGGGUGCGAGCGUUAAUCGGAAUUACUGGGCGUAAAGCGCGCGUAGGCGGUCUGAUAAGCCGGUUGUGAAAGCCCCGGGCUCAACCUGGGAACGGCAUCCGGAACUGUCAGGCUAGAGUGCAGGAGAGGAAGGUAGAAUUCCCGGUGUAGCGGUGAAAUGCGUAGAGAUCGGGAGGAAUACCAGUGGCGAAGGCGGCCUUCUGGACUGACACUGACGCUGAGGUGCGAAAGCGUGGGUAGCAAACAGGAUUAGAUACCCGAGUAGUC
rnacentral:rRNA from 1 species